AGUGUCAUCAGCCAGGAAAGAAGCCCAGUUUGAAGAUGCACACAGACCUGAUUCAACAGUUCAGUUCAAGGCUGGUUUGGAGCUCCAGCAUGGAGCUUCCUGUCCACCGCCACUCCUGUCUUGGGACGUGGCCAAGCUAUCAAAAAACUGCAGCCUGUGGAGAAGUAGCAAGUAGGAGGGAGGUCAGGAGUGGGUGGCUAAAACCACCACAAGAUUUGAGAACGCAGAUGUAUUUAACUGGAAGGAGAAAAGGAAAGCACAGAGGUACCUGUCUGUUGUCUGAUUUGUGGGUAAGAAAAGUCCAUCAUGUGGAAACUGGACAGAGGCCUUAAGCAGAGAAGGAUCUUAAGAAGAACUGCAACAGUGACCUGGCUGGGUCUUUAAGGGGGAAAUCACCCUAUCCAAUGGGUAAGGUUGACCUCACAUCCCUUCCAAAUGAGGUUCUAGAUCUUUAAGUUGAUCUAUUUCAAGAGGUUUUUUGGAGCACGUGAAAUCACUCUAAAAUGAUUGCUUCAAAAGAAAGCUGUGCUGAAGCAAAAACAAAUCAAUUAAGAGUUUCUCUGUUGGAGAGCUUCAGGCCACUAACUCUUGAAGACAUUUUAACCUGAGUGAUUAUUUCCUCUAGGUCAUGAAAAUCAAUGUAUUAGUCCCUCUAUAGCAACUCUGCCUCUGGACUCACCACCUGCGACCAGAAACACUCCCUCCCAAAGCGAGGCGGCUUAGACCAUAACGAAAUUACCUGAUCUCUCUAUUCCUACUCCAACAGGUCAUGGGAAAAGAACAAAAUGAUCUAUUAAAAACUGCAGCUGUGCUAUAGUUAUGGGCAAUGUCACUAUGGGGAGAAACUAGCUGAUGGAUACUCGAGACCUCUCUGUACUAUUUUUAUCACUGCUUAGGAACCUAUAAUUAUUUCAAAAAAAAAAUUGAAAAACAAAACCAGCAGCUGUCUGAAAAAAUUAUCUUCAAGCUAAUCAUGAGAAACAAAAGUCAAAACUCACGACUGGAUAAUUGGUCCCAAUUAUGCUAGUUCUGUACCUAAUGCUUGGAGAAAGACAUUCAGUAAGGAAACCAAGAAAUGAUACACAAGUGUCUGGCCAAACCCCUCCCUUCUUGGUUUAACUAAUAUGGAAGAGUAACAUUUGUUAUCUUAGAAACUAAGAAGUAAACUAACAACUGUAAAUGGCAAAAUUAAGAUUUAUAAAUUCAUUUUAUCAUUCUAAGAUCUAGAAAAGAGACCCACCCUAUUUUAUCCAAGCUAAAACUCUGCUGAUUGUAAGACACUUCAUUAUUUUAUGUAUCAUUAGGAAAGAAACAAACUUUGCCAAUUAACUAUGACACAAUGCCUUAAAGACAGUCUUGGGUGACAGUCAAACUAGUUCCUCACUGCUUUGUUCUGGGGGAUUUGGCAAUUUCUUCUGCCUUGAGUUGCAUUGCUUGUCGUGUGAUCAGCAGUCCUUCUGAAUGUAACUCAGUAACAAAACAUAACACAGCUUCAAUCAUUUCUCCAACUAUGAACAUUUGCUUGACUAAUAUUAAAUUUAGUGCCUGGUUUUCUCAUGCCUUUCUGUAUGCCCAAUAGCAUUUUGUUUCAUCAUGAAUAAAAUCUUAUUUCAAUAAUGUAAUCAUAUUGAGAGCAUAUUAAAUGACAGGUA
rnacentral:lncRNA from 10 species